AUUGAACGCUGGCGGCAUGCCUUACACAUGCAAGUCGAACGGUAACGGGCCUUCGGGUGCCGCCGAGUGGCGCACGGGUGAGUAAUACAUCGGAACGUGCCCGAUCGUGGGGGAUAACGAGGCGAAAGCUUUGCUAAUACCGCAUACGAUCUACGGAUGAAAGCAGGGGACCGCAAGGCCUUGCGCGGACGGAGCGGCCGAUGGCAGAUUAGGUAGUUGGUGGGAUAAAAGCUUACCAAGCCGACGAUCUGUAGCUGGUCUGAGAGGAUGAUCAGCCACAGUGGACCUGGGACACGGCCCAAACCCCUACGGGGGGCCGGAGGGGGGAAUUUUGGAAAAGGGGCGAAAGCCUAUACCACCCAGGCCGGGGGAAGGAUGAAGGCCUUCGGGUUGUAAACUGUUUUUUUACGGAACAAAAAGCCUUCUUUUAAAACAGGAGGGUAAUGAGGGUACCGGAAGGAUAAGCACCGGCUAACUACGU
rnacentral:rRNA from 1 species